CAAAGAUCCAACAGUUGAUGUCAUUAUUGUAGGAUUCCUUGAUGAACUCGAAAACUCUUUACUAAGCUGUUACCCAGAAUAAACAACUGGAUGAGGAGGAGGACUGGAGGCACCCUGAUACAUCUCUAUCAACUGACAACCUCGUCAGCAACCAUGUGAUGGUAGCAGCUUUCAAUCAGUAGCAGGGCGUUACAAUGUAUGAAGACCAUUUAUCUCAUUUGAGGAGACAGAAAGGUGCUUGUGGCUAACCCACAGUUGCUACUGUACUGUGCAAAGUCACUCUCUAUGUGGUACAGCAGCAGGUCAUCACUCCAAUGAUGCUCACAACACCUGGGGAAGGGAGGAACAGGUAAAGCCAUUACCCGAAGAGUAUGGAUUAAGAUCACAGUCCCACAGUGAAGUCACAGUAUUCCAAGCAUUUUUGAUGCUUCUCAACUUUAUGCCUUCCUCCAGGAAGUUUGGGUAAAAUAA